AUUCUCUUUAAAUCUGGUCCUGUGAGGCCAGAAAGGGUUAAUGAUGGAAACCGUUAACAGUAUACGAACGCUUAACUAUACGCACGUACAAACCUUCUCUUUGAAUUUUUUGAGAGAAGGUUUUUUUG
rfam:Nitrospirae bacterium RBG_19FT_COMBO_55_12 rbg_19ft_combo_scaffold_4539, whole genome shotgun sequence.